rnacentral:lncRNA from 1 species
UCAAGACUAGUCAAAGCUACUAUUGUAUAAAAGAUACUUAAUAGAAAAAAUUCUGAGGUGCUAGGGAAUAUUGCAGUAUUGAGGAAAACUUCUGUUGUGUAGUGUUAGUAUAAUGUAGAUUUAGUCUUAAUUCGUAGCUCACUUUUAAACUUUCAGUAUAUUGUAGAUUGAUUUAUUUUAUUGUCUCCAUUCUGCAUGUUGUUAUAUUAUACCGUACAACUAAGAUGAUUUUAUGAUUUUGGUCAUAGAAUUUUGUCACAAUUUCAUUUUAAAGUUCAAACAAAAUCUUAUAGCUUUACAAAGUUGUUUAAAUGUUAACAAACUUUCAGGAUAUUUUUUAUAAAUUUUUUAGCAUGCAGAUAGGUUUAGAAAAUAGUUUAGAUACAUCGUUUUAGCAUACAGAUAGAUUUAGAAAAUAGUUUAAAUACAUCUUUCACAUUGGUUCUUUUUGAUGCCAUUAAACCAAACUUCAUGCAUUUUUUUAUUACAUAAUCAUGUGUGCUUUGUUACCUUUUUUUGUGUAUUUUUUCUUCCAAAUGAAAUGUGUUGUGUCUGUUGAAGAAAUCAAAAAUACAUGUAUAUUUGAUACCUUAAUCAAAAUUGUGAUUUUAUAUAUCAUAUGUUUAAAAAGAAAAGCUUGAGCCUUAUCCAUAUUUCCUUGUUCAUGAAAUAAAUAACAUCCUUUUAUCAAGACCUAUUUGAGAAAUGUUAAAAUGAAAAUAACACCGAUUUAAAUGCAAGAGCUUAAUUCUGUGACGACUUUAUUUCAGCGUCUAAAAGUUUGCUUUCAUCAUAAUCCUAUUAUUUUUUCUU